UACGUAGGGGGCAAGCGUUUGUCCGGAAUUAUUGGGCGUAAAGAGCGCGUAGGCGGUCCGAUAAGUCGGCUGUGAAAGUCCAGGCUCAACCCUGGAAAGCCGGCCGAUACUGUCGGACUAGAGUCCGGAAGAGGCGAGUGGAAUUCCCGGUGUAGCGGUGAAAUGCGCAGAUAUCGGGAGGAACACCAAUUGCGAAGGCAGCUCGCUGGGACGGUACUGACGCUGAGGCGCGAAAGCGAUGGGGAGCAAACGGGG
rnacentral:rRNA from 1 species